rnacentral:rRNA from 1 species
AAUACGACUCUCGGCAACAGAUAUCUCGGCUCCCGCAUCGAUGAAGAACGUAGCGAACUGCGAUACUUGGUGUGAAUUGCAGAAUCCCGUGAACCAUCGAGUCUUUGAAUGCAAGUUGCGCCGGAAGCCAUCCGGCCNAGGGCAUGUCUGCCUGGGCAUCACAC